rnacentral:misc_RNA from 1 species
GCUCAUACCGUUGUUUUAAUAAUACAAUUAAACAAUAAAUAAUAUUUUCAUCUUAAGAAAUAAUUUUUAUAAAAAAUAUUUUUUAUGUAAAUUAUUUUUCGCAAAUAAACGAAACCCUAAGUUUCAAUUUUUAGGAUAUUGUGGCUAAGUAUCAGUCAAUUUUGUUUUGCUAACGCUUAUAAUCAAAUUGAGAGUAAUUGAUGCUAUUAAAGACUAAAAAGUGCUAAUUCAAUACAUGGAGGUGCACGUGCCCUUUAAAGUCUGCCAACGGCACCAAAGAACUUCCCUUUUUGUCUGGCAUAUUUCUUAUUUUACCAUCAAGCAAUUGGGUUUUUCCCUUUUUUUUUAUAUUUUUAUUAUCCCUUUGUUUGAAUUACAAGAAAUCCUAUAUGCUAUUGAGAAAAAUUAUCUUGUUUUCCAAGUUAAGUAUUCUACUUCUUGUCAUUAUUCAUGCUUGAGCUAUGGUUCUUCAAGUAGCAACCAUGGUAGGAUUAUUUGAAAUGUAAUGUAAAAUUUUUAUUUGUGAAUUUAGAAUUUGAUAGCUAUUAUUUUUUUAAUUAUAAAGUACAUUACUACAUUGAAAUAAUAUAUA